rnacentral:misc_RNA from 1 species
UCCGGUUUGUCACCGGCAGUCUGGCGUGAGUCCCCAACUUAAUGCUGGCAACACGCCACGGGGGUUGCGCUCGUUGCGGGACUUAACCCAACAUCUCACGACACGAGCUGACGACAGCCAUGCAGCAUCUGUGGUGCACCCUCGAAGGUCACACGUUUCCGUGCGCUUGCAGCACCAUGUCAAGCCCAGGUAAGGUGGGGAUGACGUGGAACGGUUGGUU